ensembl:lncRNA
ACUAAGCCCUUAGAUGUUAGCCCGUUCUCUCUUCAUUCAUUAGGGAAAAAGGAUUAAACACCUGCAUUAAAUGACUCAGCAUCUGUAAAGUACAAGGACAGUACCUGAUGCAUAGCAAGAACUCAGUAAAUGUAGCUGCAAUUAUCAUCAUUUGGAUGAUGGUUUCCGUUUCACUGUAAAAAUAUCCUUAAAUGAAUGGUUUCCCAUCCUGCCUACUUUCCUGGGGAAACAAACAUGAAAAGAUGGUGGGUUCUUUACCACUCACGCCUCCUGGGAAGCCCCAGCAAGACCAGUCUCUCCCUCAGCUGGGACCCGAAUACAACCUGCAGCAAAGAGUAAAGCAGAAUCACCAGGUUUUACUAUCAUGCUGCAUUAAGCAUCCUGGGGCUUCAUCUGUUCUUACGGGUUUUGAAGAAAACCUUCCCAGCAACAUAAAAGGAUGGCAUGGAUGUGGUUCCAUAAAAGAGGCUUCUGAAUUGAAGACGACAAUCUUCUUGAUGGGAGCGGCAUUGUACAAAGCAUCUUAGCGUCUCUUGCAGUGAUCAAAUAUUAAUAGCAACCAUAAUAGGAGGAACAGCCAACACUUA